rnacentral:rRNA from 1 species
GAAGCUGCCGCUUGAAGAGGGGCCCGCGGCCCAUCAGCUAGUUGGUAGGGUAACGGCCUACCAAGGCGACGACGGGUAGCUGGUCUGAGAGGACGACCAGCCACACGGGAAUUGAGAGACGGUCCCGACUCCUACGGGAGGCAGCAGUGGGGAAUCUUGGGCAAUGGGGGCAACCCUGACCCAGCGACGCCGCGUGGGGGACGAAGGCCUUCGGGUCGUAAACCCCUGUUGGGUGGGACGAAUAUCCUGCCGUGAAGAGCGGGAGGAUCUGACGGUACCACCAGAGAAAGCCCCGGCUAACUCCGUGCCAGCAGCCGCGGUAAUACGGAGGGGGCGAGUGUUG